rnacentral:rRNA from 2 species
UGAGGAAUAUUGGUCAAUGGGCGGAAGCCUGAACCAGCCAUCCCGCGUGAAGGAAGAAUGCGCUAUGCGUUGUAAACUUCUUUUCCAGGAGAAGAAACUCAUCUACGAGUAGAUGAUUGCCGGUACCCUGGGAAUAAGCAUCGGCUAACUCCGUGCCAGCAGCCGCGGUAAUACGGAGGAUGCGUGCGUUAUCCGGAUUCAUUGGGUUUAAAGGGUGCGUAGGCGGACUAUUAAGUCAGUGGUGAAAUCCUGCAGCUUAACUGCAGAACUGCCAUUGAUACUGAUAGCCUUGAGUUUGGUUAAGGUAGGCGGAAUGUGUAAUGUAGCGGUGAAAUGCUUAGAUAUUACACAGAACACCAAUUGCGUAGGCAGCUUACUGAGCCGACACUGACGCUGAGGCACGAAAGCGUGGGGAUCGAACAGG